rnacentral:rRNA from 1 species
UACAGAGGGUGCAAGCGUUAAUCGGAUUUACUGGGCGUAAAGCGCGCGUAGGCGGCUAAUUAAGUCAAAUGUGAAAUCCCCGAGCUUAACUUGGGAAUUGCAUUCGAUACUGGUUAGCUAGAGUGUGGGAGAGGAUGGUAGAAUUCCAGGUGUAGCGGUGAAAUGCGUAGAGAUCUGGAGGAAUACCGAUGGCGAAGGCAGCCAUCUGGCCUAACACUGACGCUGAGGUGCGAAAGCAUGGGGAGCGAACCGG